rnacentral:rRNA from 1 species
UACGUAGGUGGCAAGCGUUGUCCGGAUUUAUUGGGUUUAAAGGGUGCGUAGGCGGCCUUGUAAGUCAGUGCUGAAAUAUCCCGGCUUAACCGGGAGGGUGGCAUUGAUACUGCAGGGCUUGAGUAAAGUUGAGGUUGGCGGAAUUGACGGUGUAGCGGUGAAAUGCUUAGAUAUCGUCAAGAACACCGAUAGUGAAGACAGCUAGCUAAGCUUUAACUGACGCUGAGGCACGAAAGUGUGGGGAUCAAACAGG